rnacentral:tRNA from 1 species
GGUCAGAGCCCCAAGCGUUCGCGGAUGUGGGCGGUCUUGAAAACCGUCGUGGCGCGAGUCACCGUGGGUUCAAAUCCCACACCCACCG